UGGGGAAUAUUGGACAAUGGGCGCAAGCCUGAUCCAGCCAUGCCGCGUGGAUGAUGAAGGCCCUAGGGUUGUAAAGUCCUUUCGACGGGGAAGAUAAUGACGGUACCCGUAGAAGAAGCCCCGGCUAACUUCGUGCCAGCAGCCGCGGUAAUACGAAGGGGGCUAGCGUUGCUCGGAAUCACUGGGCGUAAAGCGCACGUAGGCGGCUUGUUAAGUCGGGGGUGAAAUCCUGGAGCUCAACUCCAGAACUGCCCUUGAUACUGACGAGCUCGAGUCCGGGAGAGGUGAGUGGAACUGCGAGUGUAGAGGUGAAAUUCGUAGAUAUUCGCAAGAACACCAGUGGCGAAGGCGGCUCACUGGCCCGGUACUGACGCUGAGGUGCGAAAGCGUGGGGAGCAAACA
rnacentral:rRNA from 1 species